rnacentral:rRNA from 1 species
GACGAACGCUGGCGGCGUGCUUAACACAUGCAAGUCGAACGGAAAGGCCCUGCUUUUGUGGGGUGCUCGAGUGGCGAACGGGUGAGUAACACGUGAGUAACCUGCCCUUGACUUUGGGAUAACUUCAGGAAACUGGGGCUAAUACCGGAUAGGAGCUCCUGCUGCAUGGUGGGGGUUGGAAGGUUUCGGCGGUUGGGGAUGGACUCGCGACUUAUCAGCUUGUUGGUGGGGUAGUGGCUUACCAAGGCUUUGACGGGUAGCCGGCCUGAGAGGGUGACCGGCCACAUUGGGACUGAGAUACGGCCCAGACUCCUACGGGAGGCAGCAGUGGGGAAUAUUGCACAAUGGGCGGAAGCCUGAUGCAGCAACGCCGCGUGCGGGAUGACGGCCUUCGGGUUGUAAACCGCUUUCGCCUGUGACGAAGCGUGAGUGACGGUAAUGGGUAAAGAAGCACCGGCUAACUACGUG